UACGGAGGGUGCAAGCGUUGUUCGGAAUUACUGGGCGUAAAGCGCGUGUAGGUGGUUCGGUAAGUCGAAUGUGAAAGCCCCGGGCUCAACCCGGGAAGUGCAUCCGAAACUGCCGAACUAGAGUCCCGGAGAGGAAGGCAGAAUUCCCAAUGUAGGGGUGAAAUCCGUAGAUAUUGGGAGGAAUACCGGUGGCGAAGGCGGCCUUCUGGACGGUGACUGACACUCAGACGCGAAAGCGUGGGGAGCAAAC
rnacentral:rRNA from 1 species